rnacentral:lncRNA from 1 species
CAACCAAUUUUCAAUUGCAAUGCCUACUCGCUGGUAUGAUGCAUGUUGGGAAAAACCAAAAAAAAAAGAGCAAUAAAAUGACACCAGUUUAAUGCCACAGGAUAAAAUUUCCAUCCAAAUAACUACAAUCAAAAGCCCCAAAUACCUCCUUGCAAGCAUACAGUUUCUUCGACAACAAAAUGAUAAAGAUGUUCCAACAAUAUAUGCCCGAUGGAUUUCCAUUGAAAGAGGGAGAGAGCAAACUCGAGAGGCACACAACUCCACCAUAUCAAUCGAAUCAAUUUCUAUGAAUACUAGCAAUAGGAAUCAAUUUCUUUGUCAUCUUUGUUUCCCCAAUUUUCACAAGACAUAUAUGUCCAAGAGAGAGAGAGAGUUUGUAUAUUUUUCUCCUCUUCUUGCUUCGCGUUCUAUGUUGAGAGAGAGUGUGUGAGACAUUGCUGCAGAGGGCACAAACGCGCAUGAGAGAGAAGCACAAACGAGUGAGAGAGAGAGAGAGGCAGGCCUGAACUAGAGAUGAGAGAGAGAGAGAGAGAGAGGGCAGCAAAAGAGCGAGAGAUUUGGGUUUGUUUUUUAGAGUGAGGGGCCCCGCUGCCCCAUAAGACGCUAGAGAGAGAUUGGGGUUUUUG